rnacentral:misc_RNA from 1 species
AUUCAAAGAACAACUGAAUCACUCCAUUCUUAUGCAAAAUAUCCAAGCAAUAGCAGCUUCAGCACACAACAUAACCCAUUGUUCCUACCCUUUUUUGUUUCACUGUUUUGAAGUAGAGAGGGAGGAAGAAAGAAAAAUGAAACAGAAGACAGAGUUCUCAACAGUUUUCUUCCCACAAAGAGAAAAGGGAAGGAAGAAGAGGAAGAAGAAGAUCAUCCAAACCCCUGAAGCGAUAAAAGCUUCAGGGCUUACCAUGUAUCAUAUUCAAGGAAACUUCAGUAAUAGUGAUUUGUUUCGCAAAAGGCUUUGGCAUGAAAAAGGAUUCACAGCCUCAGCCUCUAACUGUCUAACGCAUAAUAAUGACAAAUUCUUCAACCUCUUUCACUUUGACUGCUAGUGAAAUUUAUGGCGUAGCAGUUAAUUUCAUGCCACUGAUGUGCAUCCACCAUAUAAUGAUGAUAUACAUCAAUCACAUUGGAAACUUGUACUCUAGGAAUGCAGAAUAUGUGAAGGAAGUGACGGAUACUGGCAUACUGCAGAGAACAUGCAUAAAAUGCAGAAAUUUUUUUUUUAUAUUUUCCACCUUACUUUUCAUGAAAGAGAACAGACACAGGCAUAUAUAUGUAAAUAAUAUUGGAACAUUUCACCGUUGCCCAUUGCACGUAUCCUAUGCAAUAAAUCAUCUAAACCUUUCACUUCAAAAUGAGAUUAGAAUAAACUGCAUGUAAGCAUUCCUCUUUAUUCAAGGGAACAAAGUGCAAACCUCUAAGCAUACUGAAUGUUACAA